AGGGCCUUCAAUCUAGCUUCAAUCACUACAUAUCUUAUUGAGUGGAUAUAAGGAGGUAAAAGGUUUACUAACCCGGAACUAAAAAUAUUUCAUGAAAAUAACCUUAACAUCUUGGCAGUUGCUCACACAAUGGAGGUGUCCAUUACUUUUAAAACAAAUCCCUUAUUCAGAGACUUGCUGUCCACCUGGAAACUCUUGUUUUUGAGUCAUGAUCUAAAUCACAUGUUGACCCCCUUUUUGCCCCUACAGCUCCUGUGGAAAAUUUUUAAAAUGGGCUAUCCUUCCUUCCUUCCUUCCUAAUAAGAAAAACAAUCGACCUUUAUUGAUGAAAGAUAUGGUAGAUCCUGCCACUGGAAACUUACUAAAAAGGCCCGAGUUUAGAAGACACAACAACCUAAAGCCAGAUCAACCCCCACAUGAUUUGACUUCUGAUGAUGUUGUUAGCAGGUGUGAUGAUAAUGGACUCCUUUUGGAUGCAUCCACCACUGGAAUACUUGUUAACACCACACUAGGAUCGGAAGUGCAGGCAUGGAAGAGCAGUAAAAUUAAUAGAACACAAGGCAGUUUUACUUCGUUUUUGUAAAUAAACAAUAUAUGCAUACCAACUUUACCAUCAUUAGGAGUCAGGUGUGGAGACCAGUCCGAAGAGGAUACCCUCCGUAUUAUGUAUUAAAAGCUGAUAAUGGAACUAUCUUACUGCAGAAUCAAACAGAAAUUAAAUUUUGUCAUUUACCAUUGGGUUUAGUUCAUCAAAGAGCCGAAGAUAGUUAUGAUGCAUAUCUUAAUAAUACUAAUGAUAUUUACUCAGUGACUAUGAUUUUAACAUGUAAUUUAACAGUAUUUUUCUGUCAUAAAAAUACUGAAAUUAGUGGGCUGAAUAUAUAAUAUUUUUUAGUAAUAGGCCAAAUAUUACUAGUAAAAAUAAUUUAGUGAGAAUUCCUUCCACAUUUCAAAAAUUAGGAACUCAAUCUAAACAAAUAGUGAUUAAUUUUUCAGUUAAAUUUCCUAGUACAAAUAAAAAUUUUAAGGUCAGGAAAAAAAAAAA